AGCCGGGGUGCCGGGUGGGGGCAGGCUCGGGGGCCUGCCUGCGGUGAAUCAGGCUUGUGACCUCAGGCCGUCCAGGUAAAAUAACUGCAGAGUUGAUGCUGGAAUUAAAUCAAUGCAGUGGCGAGCCCAGCGCUGCAGAGCCCCGUGCUUAGUGACCAAAAUAAUGUCCCGCCUGCCUCAUCUUCCUCUCGGAUUUUUGCCAAGGCCAAACUGCGCGUGUCCCAGAAAAAAACCCUCGGACACUUGGCCUCUGCCCUGUCUCAGCCGAGUGACUAGGAUGACUGGGAAGUGAAUCACAGGAAAAUCACCCAAGCCCACUCUUCUCCACAGCCGGUGAGCAGAAGGAAGGAAGCAAAGAAGGAAGGGAGGAAGGGAAGAAGGGAGAGUUCAGUUCCCUUUCGUCGUUCACACAGUGGUCCUCCACACCAGGAAACCUAAGGGCUCUGUGGAGGGCCAGGUGCCGUGGCAGCAACACUCCUCAGGGCCUGUUUCAGCACCCCAUUUACGUGGCACAUGAAAAAUUCAGGAUGAACGCCCUGGCUGAAAGCUCUUCCUGGGUUUGGGACAUCAGAAGACCUUCCCGGGAUGGGCUCUUGUCUCUGCAGUAGCUAUGACCUGCACAUAAACCUGUUUCCUACACUGUAAAAUUGGCGUAACCACCAUUCCCUCCCAGUCUUUCUCUGGAGUCCUAAUGGGAACAGUGACGGAAUGAAAGUGACCACGCUGGAACCCGAAGCGCUGUUCCCCUCCGUGGCUUCACACUGAUCUCCACACUAGAAUUCCGUGUCUGCAGUUCAAGUUCAAACUACUGUGGUCGGGGAAGGGCUACAGAGAUCUCGCUUGGCCGUGGAGUCACCGGCCCCGUCCAGUCUUGCUUGGGACACAUACUGGUUUACACUCUCUCGGGUUCAGUUUCCUCAUCUGUAAAUGGGGCUCGUAUCCCCCUCAUAAAGUGGUUUGGGGGAUAAUAAAGCUUGUAAAAGCGCUUUGCCCCAGUGCUUGGCACAUAAUACGCGCUACGUUAACAAUGUCGCGUACACGCCCGAACCGGAGGAACCCCAUUCCACGCUCCUUCUGGAACCGAAUUCACCUCUGAGGCUUUGGGGCUUCAGAGCCGGAGCCGCUUGGGCAAAACCAGCAGAACAGCGAGAGGGAACGGGCUGGUCUAGCCCUGCCCUGAGCAUUUCUACUGAGACCCCCGGUCCUGCUUCUUCCAGCCUCUGCUGGAUUUCUCUCCGACCCCUCUGGAGCGAAGCCCUUUGGCCCUGCGUUGCAUGCGGCACGGUGCGGGUUCGGGCUCUGCGCUGGAGCCGGGAUGCCCUCCGGCGGAGGGUGCGCGUAGGCGGCGCCUGGGCGUGAGCCCCGCCUGCAAGGCUCAGCGUCGGGGAAGCACUUUUCUCGUCGACCCGGGGUCUUUUUCCGCCAAGGAGCUCGGGGCUCAAGAACUCGGGACUGGGCUGUGGGCGGGGCAUGGUUUUCCUCUCUGGGCGUCCUAAUCUCCAAUUUCAGGCAAAUUCGCUAGGAAGAACCUUCCCGAGCGCGCCUUCUCCAACAGGACCUCCAAGCCAGCCUCACGCACGCAGGCCUGGCUCUCUCCUGCAGAAUCCCCACCUGCCCUAUAACUACCCACUUCAGAUAUGGGGGAAUGGAGGAGAUAUUCCAAUCACGCCAUCUACCUACAGUUUCCACGGCCCCUUCUGUUGAAUGGUAUUUUCCUUUAGGGUCCCUAGAAGCAGAGCAAAUGAAAAGGCCAGGGGGAAAAAAAAAAAAAAAAGAAAGAACCGGUGAAUUGGCUCUGAGCCCAAUAAACGGUUCCUCUUUCCUUCUCCGGUCCUUUCCCUUCCAACAGAGCGAUUGAGAAAUCAUUUCAAUAAUCAGCAAAUCGGCUGGGAAAUGGAGAACCAGAAGGGAAUGUCCUAUCCAACAGCGCUUUUUCUUCUCUCAAUAGAAGCCCAGUCUUUCAUUUAGAUAUGAAUAUAGCUACUGUGCAUUUCUCCAUUAAUAAAUAUAAAUUUCCAAACUAGGUGGUGAGGGAUAUGAAUUUCCAUGGUACAUUGGGCCCUAGAGACACCAAGAAGCUUCAGGUCAUAAGGGGGUCUAUUCAGGCUAUGUCCAAGCACAACCAAAUUAUGGCAUUAAAAACAAGAGGUCUUGAUUCAGAUCUUUCACGUUUUAAUAACAGAGGGGGAUGCUGCUGAUAUAGAAAAGUGAUUGAAAAUAUUUGUAAACAUAUACUUCUCACUGGACCUCCAGUCAUGUUGGUGGGUGUGGUAGACAGAAUCAAGUACGUCAACUAGCUGUUUUCUGGUUUAGAAACAAAAAAUACCCCCAGCCCCACCCCCACUCUGGAGUCUUUGCUUCUCAACUACGAAAUGGAAAAAAAAGAACUCAAGUCCCAUUUAGACUGUGGGAGCUCAGCCCAUGAAGGGACUGUGGGAAUUGACAUGGAGAGUUUGGGGUGGAGAGGUGGAAGGGUGGAGGAAAUGAGAUCGGCAGCAGACACUGAGUCAGAGGCCUGAGACUAAGGCCUGGCUCUGUGUCCUUGAUAUCCCCAAGCCUCAGUGUUCACAUCUAUAAGAUGAGGAUAAUAUUGAUCUCACAGAACUGCUGUGAAGAAUCAACCACAUAAUAUAUGUGACGAUGGUUUUUCAUUAUCAGCCUUUCCUUGGCCUGGACCAAAUUGAAAGGAGACUGUGGGGCCAGGCAAGGUGGCUUGGAUCAUGCCUGUAAUACUAGCGCUUUAGGAGGCUGAGGCAGGAAGAUCCCUUGAGACCAGGAGUUUGAGACCAGCCUCAGCAACAUAGUGAG
rnacentral:lncRNA from 10 species